UACGUAGGGGGCGAGCGUUGUCCGGAUUCAUUGGGCGUAAAGCGCGCGCAGGCGGUUCGUUGUGUCGGUGGUGAAAUCCCCGGGCUUAACCUGGGAAUGGCCAUGGAAACUGGCGAACUGGAGUGCGGCAGAGGGGGGUGGAAUUCCGCGUGUAGCAGUGAAAUGCGUAGAGAUGCGGAGGAACACCGAUGGCGAAGGCAGCCCCCUGGGCUAGCACUGACGCUCAGGCACGAAAGCGUGGGGAGCAAACAGG
rnacentral:rRNA from 1 species